rnacentral:rRNA from 1 species
CCUACGGGAGGCAGCAGUGAGGGAUAUUGGUCAAUGGGGGAAACCCUGAACCAGCAACGCCGCGUGAGGGAAGACGGUUUUCGGAGUGUAAACCUCUGUCUUCUGGGAAGAAAAUGACGGUACCUGAGGAGGAAGCUCCGGCUAACUACGUGCCAGCAGCCGCGGUAAUACGUAGGGGGCAAGCGUUGUCCGGAUUUACUGGGUGUAAAGGGAGCGUAGGCGGUUUUGCAAGUCAGAAGUGAAAUCCAUGGGCUUAACCCAGGAACUGCUUUUGAAACUGCAGGGCUUGAGUGGAGGAGAGGUAGGCGGAAUUCCCGGUGUAGCGGUGAAAUGCGUAGAGAUCAGGAGGAACACCAGUGGCGAAGGCGGCCUACUGGACUGUAACUGACGUUGAGGCUCGAAAGCGUGGGUAGCAAACAGGAUUAGAUACCCGUGUAGUC